UCAGACACAGACUUUGAAGGUGCAAUUUGAAACUCAGGCUUCUGAACCAUCCUCCCUUGUUUAUAGCAUUUUUCAUCAGCGAUACCAUCAUGUUGAACAGGUCCUACAUGAAGGACAGGAUUGAAGAUAAUUUCAUGCUAGUCAUGUAUAGCCUGAUUAGUUGAAUUAUGGAUAUCUUGAGAAAAUUUAACAGUCUCUGAUCCAUGUGGAAUGGAGACAAAUUCCAAUUUAUUAGCUUGACUAGGUGUACUGACCAAUUGUUUAUUUUUUUUCAAACUGCAUGAAAUCAUCUUUGAUAGUUUCAUUACUUUGGCAUGGUGGUUUUGUAGAUAAUAAAAACUUCUCAGAAUGUGAGACCAACUCUCCCUCAAUUAUGUUAUCAGCUCUUUCAGCAAUGGAUUCUUGAGCUGCAAGCAAGCACGCCUGAUUUAUUAAAUAUUGAGAGCCAGGGGAAUCAUCAGAUUUAGAUAAUCAGUUCAGGAACUCUAACUGCUCCCUGGGAUGACUUGCAGAUUGGUAACCUCGGAAAGGCUGUGAAGGUGGAUUAUUGAAACCUACAUCAAAUGCAUCAGCUUCAUCAGCAAUGUUACUAGGUUCCAAACCGCCACGACAAUAGUAGUCAUCUUCAUUUAGGAAGUGUUAAAUUCUCUUUUUCAGAAACGACAUGCAUACUUACUGCAUGGAUAUGACUCAAAAAGGAAACAUCAUGCUGCUGCAUGGUUGAACUAGGUUCAUGAAUGUGGGAGCUGAUAUGCUCAUCCUCCAUUUUUUUAUAUGAGAAACUAUCAGCUACUAAAUUCUUAAAAGUGAAGCUAGAUAGAAGAUAUAGCUAGAUUGAAUUUUUAUUUUCUUUGAAUUUUUAUAUAUGACUUGCAUGUCUUUCAGGGCUGGAUAGAAGAUAUAGCUAGAAUGAGUUGGUAGGGACAUACUACAUAGCCAAUAAAUUCUUAAAGAAUUGAAUUUAUCAGAGUGUGAUGUGAGGAUGGUGUAAGGAGUAUAGAAGAGAAUGCAAAGAAAGUAUAUAUGAUCAUUGUAAAUUAAUCUAGUUUCAUUGGUCAUGGAAAUAGAAUCCCUACUCAGUGAGUAUGAUGCAUACAUGUAGACCUUGAAUGAAACACCAAAAAUGAUAUAUGUGCUAAUCUUUUCCCUUGCAUGUAAAUCAAAGUAGAGAGGUAAUUAAAUGAUGGUGCUUCACUCUAGAUCUGACUGUGGGUCUCCAAUUUGCAUGUAGUAUAAUAACAUGUUACAAAACCUGAACUCGACUCCAUUAUAACAUGCAUCCUAAUAAUUUGUAGUAUGGAAGAGGUAUAUGGUCAUCAAAGAGGUCUCAUAACAGCUUCGAGAAGAAUGGGAAGCAUUAGCUAAUUGCUAUGAAGAUCACAUGAGCAGUGCAUGGAUAUCAAAUAAUUUAUUAAGGAUUCUCGUGAAGAAGGAUUAUAGAAGUUAUCUCUAAAUUACGAGGAGUUAUUCUUUAGACUUUCUUUUGUGUAACUUUCAUGGGAAUAGUUGUUUUUUUAUUGGAUGAAUGUUGGAUGCA